CCAACACUGGGACUGAGAUACUGCCCAGACUCCUACGGGAGGCUGCAGUCGAGAAUCUUUCGCAAUGGGCGAAAGCCUGACGAAGCGACGCCGUGUGAGUGAAGAAGGCCUUCGGGUUGUAAAGCUCUUUCGCCGACGAACAAGAGACCAAAACUAAUACUUUUGGAAUUUGAGGGUACUCGGUAAAG
rnacentral:rRNA from 1 species